UACGAAGGGGGCUAGCGUUGCUCGGAAUCACUGGGCGUAAAGCGCACGUAGGCGGAUCUUUAAGUCGGGGGUGAAAUCCUGGAGCUCAACUCCAGAACUGCCUUCGAUACUGAGGGUCUCGAGUCCGGGAGAGGUGAGUGGAACUCCGAGUGUAGAGGUGAAAUUCGUAGAUAUCGAGAGGAACACCGGUGGCGAAGGCAGCCCCCUGGGCUAACACUGACGCUCAUGCACGAAAGCGUGGGGAGCAAACAGG
rnacentral:rRNA from 1 species